rnacentral:tmRNA from 1 species
GGGAGUGCAAGGUUUCGACGUUAUAAAGGAGUAAUAUUAUCAAGCCAGUCAGUAACUGACGAUAAAUAGUGCAAACAAGUAACCGACAACGAUUACGAAAAUGAUUAUGACUACGACGAUUGCGAAGUAGAAUACAGCAUGACUGCAUAAUCCGCUCUGUGAAUAAUGAUUGUAAAAUCACAAUAGAGUGUCGCUAAACAAUCUGUGUUUGGAAAUGAUUUGGACACCGAAAUCAUAACCCGUAUUAAUAAUUAACAGGUGUUAGUGGUCUUAAAAAGGAAUUUCUGUUGCAGAAAUAAACACGGUAAGAUUAGCAACAAAAAGCUUGUACAAAAUGAUAUUAGGAAAAUAUAGCGGACGGGGUUUCAAUACCCCCACUUCCAUUU